GUCUUUCGCUCCAGGUAGAGCUUGGGGUUAGUACAUCACUGGCCUGCGUGCUCCGCUCCAGGAGGUCUCGGUGAUUCUGCCACAGCCUCAUCCUCCGUCGCCCUGUGACCUACUGGUAUUGGAACAUUCAUAGCUAAGACUCCAGGACACCCACAAAGCCGAGAAAUGCUGAGUUUGCGGGUCAGGGCGUCCGGAGACUGGGGAGGCCUCAUCGGAGUCGGCCGGAAAUGGCGGUGGCGGGACCGAGUCUGUGAGCCUGAGCCCCCCUCAGCUCAGCCCUCAGUCUCCUCUGGUGCAGGGUACCCAGGCGUCCUGUACCGUUUCAGCACAGCGGCUUUGGCCCCAGCCUGUAGCCCUCUUUGCGCAGCUCUGCGCCCGCAUCUUCCCCAGCUUGUGAGGUGAUGAGGAGAGGUUCACCAGGGAAAGACGCCGACUUGGUGUGCAGGGCUUCUGCGUGGAAGGAGCUCUGGUCUGUGGGGUCACCAGUCCCUACUUUAACCUAUUCAGACAUAAACGGAGGCACCAUUAAAACAUUAAAGAAUUUAUAUGAGCAAACAGUGAUGAACCAGUGGGACAGCCCCAGACAUGGUUUGUCGUUUGGGGGCUACCAGCGGGUCUUGAAGAAAAGGCUUUAAGUCUGCACAUGUCUCCAAGGAGUCUGAGGACAAGUGCAAAGUCAACAACAAGCAAUGAUGGUGGUGGUGAUCCUAGUCAAUAAAAAGGGGGAAGAUGUGGGUGGCAAGCCACCCAGGUGCCAAAGCAAGAGACUGAGGGCACAAGCUAUUCCAGUAUAAUAAAGAAAAUAUAUAGUAUAAGAAUAGUUCUACUAGAAAUAGAUUAUGGAUAUGAUUAUAUAUGAAUGUCAUUAAUCAUUAGUUUGUAGCAUUAUUCUUUAUUCUAAUAUUAUAAUAAUCUUUGUUCUACAAUUAUAACCUAGGAAAAACCAGGCCCUACAGAGAUAGGAGGUGAAGGGACAUGGUGAGAAGUGACCAGAAGUCAAGAAUGUUAGCCCUCUGUUACGCCCAGACAGGGCCACUAGUGGGCUCCCUGGUCUAGCAGUAAUGCCAGCACCCAUUACCUAGCAGACCUUGGUCUAGCAGUAGCAUCAGUGCCUAGGGAAGGCACCCAUUACUUAGCAGACCAGGAAAGGGAGUCUCCCUUUCCCCGGGGGAGUUAGAGAAGACUCUGCUCCACCACCUCUUGUGGAAGGCCUGACAUCAGUCAGGCCCGCCUGCAGCCAUCUGGAGGCCUAACCGUCUCCCUGUGAUGCUGUGCUUCAAUAGUCACGCUCCUGGUCCACUUUCAUGUUCCACUCUGUAUACCUGGCUCUGCCUUCUAGAUAGCAGUAGCAGAAUUAGUGAAAGUACUAAAAGUCUUUGAAAUGCAUAAAAGAAAUAGUGGUGUAAUCUGUCCUCUCUCUCUCUCCACCUCGGCUGCCAAACAGGGAAGGGCCCCCUGUCCAGUGGACACGUGACUCGUGUGACCUUACCUAUCAUUGGAGAUGGCUCACACUCCUUACCCUGCCCCCUUGUCUUGUAUCCAACAAAUAACAGCAUGGCCAGGCAUUCAGGGCCACUACCAGUCUCCACACCUUGGUGGUAGUGGUCCUCCGGGCCCAGCUGUCUUUUCUUCUAUCUCUGUCUUGUGUCUUUAUUUCUAUGAUCUCUCAUCUCCGCACAUGAGGAGAAAAAACCCACAGACCCUGUAGGGCUGGGCCCUACAUAACUGUGUAGAGGUAUUAGACUCAGUUUAUUCUAGUGGGCCCAACCUCCGAGACCAUCUUGAGUAUCAGGAGACUGUGAGCUAUACUUGGAUGGGAGCAGCUUUGCCAACCUCUGCAAAGUGACUCUGAAAAAGAUGGCAAGCCCUGCUCCAGUCACACCUGGAAGCUGACUGGUUCCCGCAUCACCAAAGCAUGAGGAAAUUAAUCACAGGACUCAUUUCCCUGAAAAUUUGGACUUGUACAGUAAGGACUUCAACUGACCUUCCUCAGACUGAGGACUGUUCCCAAUAUAUACAUCAAGUCACUGAGGUAGGACAAAAGUUUGCUACAGUCCUAUUAUUUUAUGGUUAUUUUAAGUGUACCAGGACUCUAAAAGGAACUUGUUUGUAUAAUGCUAUUCUAUACAAGGUAUGUAGCCCACGAAAUGACCAGCCUGAUGUGUGCUAUAACCCAUCUUUUUUCCUACUGCCCAUAAAAACAGGCGAACUUCUAGGUUUCCUGGUCUAUGCUUCCCGAGAAAAGAGAAGCAUAGCUAUAGGCGACUGAAAAGAUGACAAGUGGCCCCCUGAAAGAAUCAUACAGUACUAUGGGCCUGCCACUUAGGCACAAGACAGCUCAUGGGGAUACCGAAUCCCCAUUUAUAUGCUCAACUGAAUCAUACGAUUACAAGCUGUCUUAGAAAUAAUCACUAAUAAAACUGGCAGAGCUUCAACUGUUUUAGCCCAGCAAGAAACCCAGAUGAGAAAUGCUAUCUAUAAAUAUAGACUAGCCCUAGACUACUUGCUAACAGCUAAAGGAGGGGUCUGUGGGAAAUUUAACCUUACUAAUUGCUGUCUACACAUAGAUGACCAAGGGCAAGUAGUUGAAGACAUAGUUAGAGACAUGACAAAACUGGCACAUGUGCCUGCGCAAGUGUGGCAUGGAUUUAAUCCUGGGGCCAUGUUUGAAAAAUGGUUCCCAGCACUAGGAGGAUUUAAAACUCUUAUAGUAGGAGUUAUAAUAGUAAUAAAAACAUGCUUACUGCUCCCUUGUUUGCUAUGUACUUCUUCAAAUGAUAAAAAGCUUCAUCGCUACCUUAGUUCACCAAAAUGCUUCAGCACAAGUGUACUAUAUGAAUCACUAUCGAUCUGUCUUACAGGAAGACAUGAGUAGUGAGGAUAAAGGUGAGAACUUCCACUAAUGAGAGAGGUUCUCAAACGGGGGGAAAAAGGGAGGAGACCACCCCUCAUAUUGUCUUAUGCCUAGUUUCUGCCUCCAAAGAAAGAAGAAGUGAAAACUGAAAGGCAGAAAUGGAAUCCACAGGCAGAUAGCCCAGCAUCAUGCCCUGGGCCUGCUAGUUAAAAAUCCACCCCUGACCUAACUGCUUGUGUUAUCUAUAGAUUUCAGACAUUGUAUGGAAAAGCAUCAUGAAAAUCCCUAUCCUGUUCUGUUCUGUUCUGACUAGUGGUACAUGCAGCCCCCAGUCACAUACCCUCUGCUUGCUCAAUCAAUCAUGACCUUUUCAGGCGGACCCCGUUAUAGUUGUAAGCCCUUGAAAGGGACAGGAAUUGCUCACUCAGGGAGCUCAGUUUUUGGAGAUGUGAGUCUUCCAAUGCUGCCAGCUGAAUAAAGCCCUUUCCUUCUGCAACUCGGUGUCUGAGGGGUUCUUGUCUGUGUCUCAUCCUGCUACAACAGAGGUGGGCAGAUCACGAGGUCAGGAGUUCCAGACCAGCCUGACCAACAUGGUGAAACCCCGUCUCUAGUAAAAAUACAAAAAUUAGCCAGGCGUGGUGGUGCAAGCCUUUAAUCCCAGCUACUCAGGGGGCUGAGGCAGGAGAAUCACUUGAACCCGGG
rnacentral:lncRNA from 1 species